UCGAAUGAUCCAUUGGAUCAAAAAAUUUAAUCAUGGACCAGAUCCGAUCUGAUCUGAUUUUUUAUUAGACUAGUUUUGGAUCCAAUAUUUAGACCUGAUCAAGAAAUUAAGUUGGAUCAGAGUCACUCAUGAUCCGAUCCGAUCCAACCCAUUUGCACCCCUAGGUGCAAGUGAACCGGGGCAAAUCGUGAAGCAUAUGCAUGGUGGAGAGCAUGCAAUCGAGAAUUCAUGAAAUACAAGAGG
rnacentral:lncRNA from 1 species